GAGAAGAAAAGAAAUUUGCUCAAGGUUACUCAGAGCUAAAAUUCAAACCCAAUCUAUUACUAUUGAAAACUUUUCAAGAAAGAGGAAGUAUAAGUCAAUAUAUUUAAAGUCGUAUGGCCCCCUGCUCAUGAUGGAAGUGGUUAAAGUGGAUAAGAUAACCAAUCCCUAACUGUUCCAAGCUCAAACAUUCAAACAAAGUACUGUGAAAGCAAAAGAAAAAUAGGUGCAUUCCUAACUUUAAAAUAAUGAUAAUCUAUGGGGCACCUGGGUAGCUCAGUCAGUUGAGCAUCCUACUCCUGAUUGUGGCUCAGGUCAUGAUCCCAGAGAUGAGGGAUUGAGUCCUAUGUGGGAUUCCAUGCUGAGUGUGGAGACUGCUUAAGAUUCUCUCUCUUUCCUUCUGCCCCUAUUCCUCUCUCUCUCUCUCUCUAAAAAAAAAAAAAAAAAAAAAAGUAAAAUGAAAUAGUUCUAAUCUAGGCAGAAGUAAAAUACACACAUGCAAACCUAUGUUAGAAUAUAUAAUAUUAACAUAAGAGUUAAAUGAGUGUUACAGAUUAUAAGCAUUAUAAGAUGCAAAGGCAUUAAGGUAUUAAGGAGGUCAGGUUUGAUUUAGGCUAGGGAGGACAACUUGGCAUCCCUAAUGGAAAGUGCAGCCGACUUGAGGUCAGCUUUUCCAAUCACUAGGUGUGUGAUCAUGAGCAGUCACUUUACAUUUCCACCUCCACUGCAGUUUCCUCUGCUAUAAAAUGAGGGCUUUGCAUUGGAUUCAUUAAUUCAUUCAGAACACCACUUUAAGUGUCCGCUAUAAUACACAAGAUUAGGAAUAUCAACUAAUUAAGACCUGGUUUUUGUUCUCAAGAAAUUUGCUGCCUAGGAGGGGAGAUCUAAAUGCAAAUAAAUAAAAUUCUUAUAAAAUGAUAAUCACUAUGAUGUAAUUAUAAACAAAGGACUGAGAGGCACCUAAGCUGCCCACAGGUAAGGAAACACUCUACAGAGACCAUGUUUGGAUGAAUGUUGGACCAUGUUGCUGGGUGAAUCAGGUAAUGACAGACCCUUCCACACAGGGAAGAAUUGUGUAGAUCUUUGCUAAUGUCUCUUGCAGCAUUAAUAUUUCAUAUGUCUCUGUUUCUGCCUUGUUUGGAGAAGGAGGAAGGGUGUGAACAAAUGUAGAGUAGGAGUAAGUGUAUCAAUUAAUGAAGAGAAGAUAGAAGGAAGUAACCGCCUGGGUUUCUUUAAAGCCCUAAUAUGUGUUCACCGUGAAUGCCAUGAAGGAGAACACAUGAGAACACAGAUAAUUAAAACCUUUGCCAUCUCUAUAUUUCCAUCAUACGCAAGUUCUUAAAGAUACUGAAGACUUUCUAUAAUAGGAUUUGUAUCCCUUGUCGACAUUUAGGGCUCCGAUCCAGAGGCAGUAUGUGUAGGGCUUAAGAACUUGGGCUUUGGGUCAGAUCACUCAAGUUCAUAUCACAACGUACCCACUUACUACUUGUAGAAUCUUAAAGAAGCUAAACUCUUUUGGGCCUUAGUCUUCUCAACUGUAAAAUGGAAAUAAUAACAGUAGCUACUUCCUAUUGUGAAAAUUAAAUGGGUUACAUACAUAAAGUGCCUUGAACCAGCCUGGCACCCAAAAGCAUCAAAGUAUUAGCUAUUAUCACCUGUUAUUCUAUAGUGUGACUAUCACUAAGGAUAAGGUGAGGCACUGGUAAUAUGCUUCCUUGGUGAAUAACCUCACGGUGCUUCUCUGUCUAUGGCCUUCAAUGGGGAUGGCUUAGAAUACAUUUAUUUAGUCGUGGUACAAAGUAUGUUACAUUAGGCCCUAUGCUAGGCACUGUGGAUCAUAUGAAAGGAAAAAUAAGCCUUGAAGUACAGCAUUUCCAAACCAAGGCAGCACAUUUUAAUUAUCAAAUGUUAAGAGUUCAGAGGGAGCAGACGUUACUUCUGCCUGGAACAUCCAGAGAAUACUUCUUGGGUGGCACUGGAAGUGCACAACGAUAGACAUCAUUUCAGGGAUUUAAUUAAGGAUUUGCCUCAGCUGGUUUGUGCGUUCUCUUUGCAUUCACGAGCUUUUCUUCCUUCCCCCUCGUGCUUGUAGAGCAAAAUCUGAGCCAGUGGACCCAGGAUGCUGGAGGAGAGUCAAGGCUGGGAAAGUAUCAUGGACCGUGUUAGCAAUCAACAGGAAAGAUAUUUUUAAACAAAAGAAGUUUUCCCAGCUUCCAAGAAAAGAAACAAAAGGCUUUUCUAAAAUGAAUCCUGGUAGAAACUGUUCUUCUUGUUCUGUGACUUUUAUGUCACUUGGACAACAAGUCAGCUCUUAGAAAUAGUUAUUUUCCUGUCGACAUCACUGCAUGGGUACUUCUCCUUAGAAUGACAUAACAGCAUUUGUGCUCAAUCCCAGGCACUGUUCACCCUCCAACGGCAGUGACUUUCAGAAACAAUAAAGAUAUAUCUGCUCGGUCUCGCUCUCUCUUGAUUAUACUGCAGGCACAACCUGUGUGGGGAAACAAUCUCCUGGAUCAUACUGAAGGUUCGCACAGAUGGAACAUUAGUGGGAGGAGUUGCCAGCUACUUCCCUGCCAACUUGUUAGUGCUGGAGACAUUAUCCUCUUGUUUUGCCAGUUUAAUAGAGGAUCAGUCGUAAAGAUUCUCUGUAGGCUCAGCAACAUAAUUAUUAUCUACGGUCUCUGCAUUAACUGUGAGAAAACAUCAUGGUCUGAAUCUGCCUAAUUUCAAAUGCCAAGCUGUGCCCACAUUCAGCCCACAAUCGAACCUGAAAACUCAAUAAAUCCUCAGCAUCGUUACUGCCAUCAUGGCGGGUGUUAAGUACAUGUUUGCCCAAGCCAUGAUGUUGAACCGUUGCUGUACUGCUUCUGUAUUUAAGGCUUAUUUCCUCUGCUCCCCAGACCCUUUCCAACACCAGUGCCCUUGUAAUCUAAAAUUAUUAAAAAGGUAAAAAUCUG
rnacentral:lncRNA from 1 species